ACCAUCCUCCAAGGCUAAAUACUCCUGACUGACCGAUAGUGAACCAGUACCGUGAGGGAAAGGCGAAAAGAACCCCGGCGAGGGGAGUGAAAAAGAACCUGAAACCGUGUACGUACAAGCAGUGGGAGCACGCUUAGGCGUGUGACUGCGUACCUUUUGUAUAAUGGGUCAGCGACUUAUAUUCUGUAGCAAGGUUAACCGAAUAGGGGAGCCGAAGGGAAACCGAGUCUUAACUGGGCGUUAAGUUGCAGGGUAUAGACCCGAAACCCGGUGAUCUAGCCAUGGGCAGGUUGAAGGUUGGGUAACACUAACUGGAGGACCGAACCGACUAAUGUUGAAAAAUUAGCGGAUGACUUGUGGCUGGGGGUGAAAGGCCAAUCAAACCGGGAGAUAGCUGGUUCUCCCCGAAAGCUAUUUAGGUAGCGCCUCGUGAAUUCAUCUCCGGGGGUAGAGCACUGUUUCGGCAAGGGGGUCAUCCCGACUUACCAACCCGAUGCAAACUGCGAAUAC
rnacentral:rRNA from 1 species